UGGGGUAUAGCUCAGCGGUAGAGCGCAUACUUAGCAUGCAUCAGGUCCUGGGUUCAGUCCCCAGUUCCUCCA
rnacentral:tRNA from 1 species